CUACGGGGUGCAGCAGUGGGGAAUAUUGCGCAAUGGGCGAAAGCCUGACGCAGCAACGCCGCGUGAGUGAUGAAGGCCUUCGGGUCGUAAAGCUCUGUCGGGAGGGAAGAACACCUUCGGGUCUGACGGUACCUCCCGAGGAAGCACAGGCUAACUCCGUGCCAGCAGCCGCGGUAAUACGGAGUGUGCAAGCGUUGUUCGGAAUUACUGGGCGUAAAGCGCGCGUAGGCGGCUUGAUAAGUCAGAUGUGAAAUCCCUCGGCUUAACCGAGGAACUGCAUUUGAAACUGUCAGGCUUGAGUACGGGAGGGGGAAGCGGAAUUCCCAGUGUAGAGGUGAAAUUCGUAGAUAUUGGGAGGGACACCAGCGGCGAAGGCGGCUUCCUGGACCGAUACUGACGCUGAGGCGCGAAAGCGUGGGGAGCAAACAGGAUUAGAUACCCUGGUAGUC
rnacentral:rRNA from 1 species